AUUGAACGCUGGCGGAAUGCUUUACACAUGCAAGUCGAACGGCAGCACGGACUUCGGUCUGGUGGCGAGUGGCGAACGGGUGAGUAAUGUAUCGGAACGUGCCCAGUCGUGGGGGAUAACGUAGUGAAAAUUACGCUAAUACCGCAUACGAUCUAUGGAUGAAAGCGGGGGAUCGCAAGACCUCGCGCGAUUGGAGCGGCCGAUAUCAGAUUAGGUAGUUGGUGGGGUAAAGGCCCACCAAGCCAACGAUCUGUAGCUGGUCUGAGAGGACGGCCAGCCAAACUGGGACUGAGACACGGUCCAGACUCCUACGGGAGGCAGAAGGGGGGAAUUUUGGACAAUGGGCGAAAGCCUGAUCCAGCCAUUCCGCGUGCAGGAUGAAGGCCCUCGGGUUGUAAACUGCUUUUGUACAGAACGAAAAGGUUUCUACUAAUACUAGGAGCUCAUGACGGUACUGUAAGAAUAAGCACCGGCUAACUACGUGCCAGCAGCCGCCGUAA
rnacentral:rRNA from 1 species